AUUGAACGCUGGCGGCAUGCCUUACACAUGCAAGUCGAACGGCAGCACGGGGCAACCUGGUGGCGAGUGGCGAACGGGUGAGUAAUGCAUCGGAACGUACCUUUCAGUGGAGGAUAACGUAGCGAAAGUUACGCUAAUACCGCAUAUUCUGUGAGCAGGAAAGCAGGGGAUCGCAAGACCUUGCGCUGAUUGAGCGGCCGAUGUCAGAUUAGCUAGUUGGUGAGGUAAAGGUCCACCAAGCCAACGAUCUGUAGCUGGUCUGAGUGGACGACCAGCCACACUGGAACUGAGACACGGUCCAGACUCCUACGGGAGGCAGCAGUGGGGAAUUUUGGACAAUGGGCGAAAGCCUGAUCCAGCCAUUCCGCGUGCAGGAUGAAGGCCUCGGGUUGUAAACUGCUUUUGUACAGAACGAAAAGGUUUCUACUAAUACUAGGAGCUCACGACGGUACUGUAAGAAUAAGCACCGGCUAACUACGUGCCAGCCGCCGCCGUAA
rnacentral:rRNA from 1 species